GGAAUAUUGGACAAUGGUCGGAAGACUGAUCCAGCCAUGCCGCGUGAAGGAUAAGGUCCUAUGGAUUGUAAACUUCUUUUGAGAGGGAGCAAUAAGGUAGUCGGGACUACCGAUGAGAGUACCUUUCGAAUAAGCAUCGGCUAACUCCGUGCCAGCAGCCGCGGUAAUACGGAGGAUGCGAGCGUUAUCCGGAUUUAUUGGGUUUAAAGGGUGCGUAGGCGGUUUGUCAAGUCAGCGGUGAAACGCAAGGGCUUAACCCUUGACCUGCCGUUGAAACUGGCGGACUUGAAUGCGGAUGCUGUGGGAGGAAUGUGUGGUGUAGCGGUGAAAUGCAUAGAUAUCACACAGAACACCGAUUGCGAAGGCAUCUCACAAAUCCGUGAUUGACGCUGAGGCACGAAAGUGUGGGGAUCAAACA
rnacentral:rRNA from 1 species